rnacentral:rRNA from 1 species
UACAGAGGUCCCGAGCGUUGUUCGGAUUCAUUGGGCGUAAAGGGUGCGUAGGCGGCGGAGUAAGUCUGAUGUGAAAUCCCGGGGCUCAACCCCGGAACUGCAUUGGAUACUGCUUUGCUAGAGUACUGGAGAGGGAACUGGAAUUUACGGUGUAGCAGUGAAAUGCGUAGAGAUCGUAAGGAACACCAAUUGCGAAGGCAGCUCGCUGGGACGUUACUGACGCUGAGACGCGAAAGCGUGGGGAGCAAACAGG